UCUCAGUCAGCUCACUCUUGGGAAUGGAUGUUGAAGCCUCGGGUGUGAGUUCUGCCUCACUGGCUAAAGGUCCGGGGUACACACCCUGUAGACACACCAAGACAGGUAUCGAGCAUGCACUAAAUCGAGAUCUCCCCCACCGUCUCAAGAGUUGGGCUCCUGGAUACACAAGCUAAACACAUACUUGUUGCUAGGGCACCUUGGUAAGGGAGAUGAGAAGGGUAUAAGUAUAGGACUGCAGAGGGAGAGAGAGGAAGCAGGGAAGCAGGGAAGAAGAAGAAGGGACAAGAUGAUAUAACCAAACAAUAAAGCUUCUCUAACUGCAUAAGUGGUGUCAGACUGCUCUGUUGUAUUCAGAGACGACCUGUUGUAGAGGCCACCAUAAUUGUGGGUGAAGAAACGAAGACAAAUGGGAAUUGGAUGUGAAUUCAGGUGUUGCUGAUUCUAAGCCCAGUACUCUGUCUACUGCACCAUUUAGCUGAUUCUUCCGAUAACAUGAUUUCUUUUAUUUUCACUUUUUGGACUUUGCCACUAUGCCUCAACUGAUUUUUUCACCCUGGAAUAUUCCUCCACCCUUGAAGAUCUCUUCUUCCAAUGGUGAAGUUCUUCAGAGAACUCUCAAUUUGAGAAAAGGCUUAGAAUAAUCAUCCAUUUCCUGAUUUAGCUUCUGUCUCUCUAGACUUUACUACCUGUUGUAAAUAACUUUCCCCCAACUUUUCAACUCCAUUUUAUAUGUUGUCUUUUAUUAGAAUAUAGCUCUUUGAAGUCAGGAACUAUUCUCCUUUUUAUUCAUAUUUGUACCCACUUACCUGACAAAUAAUAGGUACUUAAUAAACGCUUAUUGACUGAGCUUGGGGGACAUAUAGUCCAACCUAGAAAUUAUUAUUGUUCUUGCUCAGUUUUUUUUUUUUGUUUGUUUGUUUUUUUUGUUUUUGUUUUUGUUUUUUGCUGAGGCAAUUGGGGGUUAAAUGACACACAUAUAGGAAGUAUUAAGUGUCUGGGGUCAAAUUUGAACUCAGGUCCUCCUGACUUCAGGGCUGGUGCUCUAUCUACUGCACCACCUAGUUGCCCCUGCUCAUUUUUUUUUAAGUCAUGUCCCCAUUUUCAUGACCCCAUUUUGGAGUUUUUUUUAAGCAAAGAUACUGCAAUGGGUGUGCAGUUUCUUUCACCAGCUCAUUUUAUAGAUGAAGAAAUAGACAAGCAGGAUUAAGUGACUUGGCUAGGAUCACAUAACUAGGAAUUGUCUGAGGCUGAAUUUGAACUUAUGAAGAUGAUUUUCCUGACUCCAAGUCUAGCACUCUAACCACUAUGUCCCUUAGCUGCCUAGAAAUUAUUAUGGCCCAGGGUAAUCAAAGGUAUUGUUUCUGGUUAUGCUCUUUAUAAGUCUCCUGUUCCCCUCCAAAAGAAAAAAUUGCCUUCUGAAGGGGAUGAAGGUAUGAUGUACUGAUUAGGUACUAUGUCCAAAAACAAUAUUUAGGAAUAAGAAAACCAACCUCCAUUGUUUAGAAAAUCCACCCUGCAGCUUUAUUAACUCCCCUUUAUUUUAAACAUCCCUUCUUGUUCAUGGUCUAAUUAUUUUGGUAUUGAAAGGAUUGUCUAUGUCAAUUAUUUCAUUAAAAUAGAGGAAUAAUGUUGCUCCAAGUACAACAAUCUGUGUCUGGUACCCACUGAGAAGCAGCAGGAGAAGGCUCCUAUCUAUAGAGAGCCUGUCGGAAGCUGGAAUUUCCAUCCUAUCAUUACAAAACAUGGUAUUUCAAACAUGAAAAGGCCUCCAAUAAAAAAGAUCACAAAUGA